AGGCAGAAGCUGCCCCGAGAGACCAGCAGCAACGGUCUGGAAGAUGGGGCUGCAGGGAACGUGGGAGAGGGAGGAUUGGGCACCCCACCUCCGGGUCUCCGCAGGCUCUCCUAAGUCUUGUUUUUAAAAGAAACAAAACUCGGCCGCGCGCGGUGGCUCACGCCUAUAAUCCCAGCACUUGGGGAGGCCGAGGCCGGUGGAUCACCUGAGGUCGAGGGUUCGAGACCAGCCUGGCCAACAAGUUGAAACCCCGUCUCUACUAAAAAUACAAAAAUUAGCUGGAUGUGGUGACGCGCCUGUAAUCCCAGCUACUCAGGAGGCUGAGGCAGGAGAAUCGCUUGAACCCGGGAGGCGGAGGUUGCAGUGAGCGGAGAUCGUUCCAUUGCACUCCAGCCUGGGCGACAGACCGAGACUUAAAGGAAAGAAAAAAAAGAAAAAGAAAAGGAAACAAAACUCGUCCGCGCUCUGCGCCAGGGACACCAGCUCAGCUGAGCGCACGGAGACUGUAGGCAGGACCUCCCUACCCCUCAGGUCAAACAAAGACCCAAGGCCUCUAGUGAGCAAUAGCACCACGGACCGUUUGGGACACCUCCAACUCGAGUUCCCGGAUUCACAGUCCGGGACUGUGCCGCUCCAGUCCCGGGGAGCAUAUAGCCAAUUCCCAGGUCAGAACAGACCAGCUUCUUAAGAACCGAGUGAAGACUCAGUGCUGGCAUUUGUCUCCGUAGGUACUGGCCGACCUGCAACCAGAAGGGUUUCUAGCCAGCUCAGGGCCCUCCGAACAAAGCAGCGCUCGGUGCCGGACCUGCAGCUCUCCCCACCCGGCAGCAGCGCCCUCAGCACGCCCGGGAACCCCCGACCCCUCUGAGCCCGGGGUACUGCGCCCGGGUCUCCACGCCCAGAGAUGCUCCCCGGUCUCCACCGUCGGGCAAGCCCCAAGCGCAGCAGCGCAGAGUCCUGGGGUCACCAGAGCUCGUACUAGGACAUCGUCUCCCCAUUUAACACCGCCUCCGGUCCCAUCUGAGUUGCAAGUGGUGGGGAUGUGGGGCUCCGGAUCAAAGUCCCCGAAACCGAGCACUUCCCGAAGCCUCCUUGGCCUCGAAACAAAACAAUAACGCCCAACUCCAUCAUAUUCCAGAACUCCCACCACCUGCAUACAGACAUUCAGCUGCACAAGCCCCCUCCAUGCUACAGUCAACAGGAUCUCCAGGCCACGGCUCAAGCCCAGGUACUCACAUCAGUGGUUCUAUCAACACUCAGGACAGACCCAUAGAAGAGGCCCAAGCAGGCCCUGGAAGUGCAUGUGGAGGCCACCAGGCAAGGAAUUCUGGAGUCCCAGAUCAUAUCUGGGUGUCCAUCAGCAUGUUACUUCACAUCUCUGUACCUCAGUUUAUUCAUCUUUCAAAUGGAAGCAACAUAUAGAGCUGCCUUAUAGAGUUGCUCUGGGUAUUAGAUGUAUAAUAUAUGUGAACUGCUUGGUACUGGGCCUGGUAUAUGGUAUGUGCUCAAUAAAUGAUAGUUGUUUAUUAUUGUCAUUUAUUAUCAUCAUCAUCAUCAUCAUAAUUAAAUAUUAUUCCAAGCAACAAUGUGUUCCUCAUAGUCCAACAAUAAUUUAAUAAAUGUAACCUUUCCAAAACUCCGAUCUGCAAAUUUUAAAUAAAUAUUUUCAAUUAAAUUAA
rnacentral:lncRNA from 1 species